GUGUCAGCCGCCGCGGUAAUACGUAGGGUGCGAGCGUUAAUCGGAAUUACUGGGCGUAAAGCGUGCGCAGGCGGUUCGUUAAGUCAGAUGUGAAAGCCCCGGGCUCAACCUGGGAACUGCAUUUGAAACUGGCGGGCUUGAGUAUGGCAGAGGGGGGUGGAAUUCCGCGUGUAGCAGUGAAAUGCGUAGAGAUGCGGAGGAACACCGAUGGCGAAGGCAGCCCCCUGGGCCAAUACUGACGCUCAGGCACGAAAGCGUGGGGAGCAAACAGGAUUAGAUACCCCCGUAGUCC
rnacentral:rRNA from 1 species